rnacentral:snoRNA from 1 species
ACCCUCUCAGGGUCGCACCUGGAGAGUUUCCAGUACUCUACCAGUCUCGGCUACGGGAGGGAGAGUCAAGCAGAGGCCGAACCAUUCCAUUCCCAGCUUGGGCAGUAACUAGCGAGUGGCAGGCCAUCUGCUACAAGU